CAGCUUGUUGGUGAGGUAACGGCUCCCAAGGGACGACGGGUAGCCCCCUGAGAGGGUGACCGGCCACACUGGGACUGAGCACGGCCCAGUUCCUACGGGAGGCAGCUGUGGGGAAUAUUGCACAAUGGGCGAAAGCCAAUGCAGCAACCCGCGUGAGGGACGACGGCCUUCGGGUUGUAAACCUCUUUUAGCAGGGAAGAAGCGAAAGUGACGGUACCUGCAGAAAAAGCACCGGCUAACUACGUGCCAGCAGCCGCGGUAAUACGUAGGGUGCAAGCGUUGUCCGGAAUUAUUGGGCGUAAAGAGCUCGUAGGCGGUUUGUUGCGUUUGCUGUGAAAUCCCGAGGCUCAACCUCGGGUCUGCAGUGGGUACGGGCAGACUAGAGUGCGGUAGGGGAGAUUGGAAUUCCUGGUGUAGCGGUGGAAUGCGCAGAUAUCAGGAGGAACCCCGAUGGCGAAGGCAGAUUUUUGGGUCGCUACUGACCCUGAGGAGCGAAAGGGUGGGGAGCAAACAGGCUUAGAUUCCCUGGUAGUCCCCCCCGU
rnacentral:rRNA from 1 species